AUACGUAGGGCGCGAGCGUUGUCCGGAAUUACUGGGCGUAAAGAGCUCGUAGGUGGUUUGUCGCGUCGUCUGUGAAAUUCCGGGGCUUAACUCCGGGCGUGCAGGCGAUACGGGCAUAACUUGAGUACUGUAGGGGAGACUGGAAUUCCUGGUGUAGCGGUGAAAUGCGCAGAUAUCAGGAGGAACACCGGUGGCGAAGGCGGGUCUCUGGGCAGUAACUGACGCUGAGGAGCGAAAGCAUGGGUAGCGAACAGGAUUAGAUACCCUGGUAGUCCAUGCCGUAAACGGUGGGCGCUAGGUGUAGGGGUCUUCCACGACUUCUGUGCCGUAGCUAACGCAUUAAGCGCCCCGCCUGGGGAGUACGGCCGCAAGGCUAAAACUCAAAUGAAUUGACGGGG
rnacentral:rRNA from 1 species